UUUAAUUCAGAAAGUUCCAAAUAAUCCAAAUACAUUUUGUCUUUAAAUUUUUUUUAUUAAACUACAUAAUUACAUUUUUUUUACUAAGUGGAAUUUGCUGCAAAAACAGGUUCCUAAUUCUAAAUAACCAAGACCAAAAUCAAUGGACUGGUUUAACACUCCUUUGGACCUAGGCGCAAAAACAUGUUAUCUUGAAGCUUGGAGCAGCCACUUUUCCAUUCCAUCAGGUCAUCUCAGAGCUAUAACCUGCAGAGAAAAAUAGCUUAUUUAAAAAGUACUUUUUAAAAGCACUUAAAAAACUAAAAAAUAACUAAACAAAUUACUCAAUUUGAAACUUUACCCAACAGGUUAACUUGAACAUCCAAAAAGGCAUUGCAAUAAUAACUUAAAACAGAACAAAUCCACAGAAAUUAAAUCCCACAUAAUCUGGGAUGGGAAAAUCGAAAAAGAAAGGAGUUUUUAAAAAACUGAUAAAAAUUCUUCAUAAAAGGUUCAUGAGGCGUUAAGAACAUCAACACAGUAAGAGACCUUCUCAAAAAACAGAAACCAAAACAAUAAUAGAAUACACAGCGAGAGAGACAUCACAGUAAGAGACCUUCUCAAAAAACAGAAACCAAAACAACAAUAGAAUACACAGCGAGAGAGACAUCACAGUAAGAGACCUUCUCAAAAAACAGAAACCAAAACAACAAUAGAAUACACCGCGAGAGAGACAUCACAAUAAGAGAUUUUUCAAAAGAAACUAAAAAUACAACAGCAAACAUAGCCAUAAACGCAGUAAAGCUUUUUUUCAAAACCCUAAAAAACGAAACAGAAGAAGGAGGCUUAUUUGGAGACGGGACGCAUCAAACUCAGCUUCAUCUUCUUCUCCUUCCAACGAAUCCUUCCAAACCUCCAAACGUGCACCUCUUCUCCUCCUUCGAUCGCGAACCCACACACUCCACACCCUCAUUUUCUACCUCCAACGAGCGCCCUCACAAAACCACAGUUUCUCUGCCGGCCACAAUCGACCUUCAAUCGCUCCUCACCGGCGCAACCUCCAUGGCGGCUUCAGUUGGUCUGUGAGGUCUCACAGUUACAAUCGCUCAUUCUGGG
rnacentral:lncRNA from 1 species